GCUUCCCCCGUGCAAUCGCACACCAGCAGAUGCGCUUCUCUCUGCCCCCAAACUGCCUGCGUGGUCAGGGCUCAUCUGAAUAAGAUGUCUGUUGACCUGCACAUCCGCGCGGCUUUUCUCUCUCCCCGCGCAGCCUGCAAUCUUUGAAUCCCGCAGUUCUGCGGAUCUGGGCACCCUGUUCCUUCCUCCUGCUCUCUCUCUCUCUCGCCUUUCCUUUCUGUCUUGUGACAGUCUCCUCCCAUUCCUGAGUGCAUUUCCUUUGAAUGCAAAAAUGAGCAAAGGGUAUUUUAUGUGUCAUCUCCUGACGUCCUUAGAUCAUUUUAGGGAGUGGGACAAGGGCAGAGGCAUAUUUAUAAAGUCUCCUCCAAGUUAAACCGAAGGGAUUUAUGGGUCACCCAACACCUUAGUCUACUGUGCCU
rnacentral:lncRNA from 1 species